rnacentral:rRNA from 1 species
ACGCAGCGAUGCGAUACGUAGUGUGAAUUGCAGAAUUCCGCGAAUCAUCGAGUCUUUGAACGCAAGUUGCGCCCGAGGACUUGUUCCAAGGGCAUGUCUGCCUGAGCGUC